UUUGUCAUAUUCUUUGCCUGCAGGUCGAUGUUUUCUCUUUCGGGAUCGUUUUGUGGGAGAUUCUAACCGGUGAGGAACCAUAUGCCAAUAUGCACUAUGGCGCCAUAAUAGGUGGGAUAGUGAACAACACACUGAGGCCAACUAUACCGGGCUUCUGCGACGAUGAGUGGAGAACACUAAUGGAGGAAUGUUGGGCGCCAAACCCAAUAGCAAGACCAUCUUUCACAGAGAUAGCUGGUCGCUUACGAGUAAUGUCAUCAGCAGCAACUUCCACUCAAUCCAAGCCACCCGCUCACAGGGCUUCGAAAUGAAAAACCUUUCUUUUUAUUAUGUGCAGUGAAAAGAGAAUAUAAGUCGAUUACAGAGACUCCAAUUCUUUAUACUUUUCGGUUUGGGGUUUGGAGAGAGACAUUCUCGACCCUGUCCUCCUUUCCCUUUUCAAUUUUUUAACAAAAACAAACAAAAAAGUUGAAAAUUUUAUUCGAAAUUAUUUUGUCACAUGUCUUUGUUGAAUACAAAUACAUCUCCCUUUUACAUCUA